rnacentral:rRNA from 1 species
GACGAACGCUGGCGGCGUGCUUAACACAUGCAAGUCGAACGGAAAGGCCUCUUUCGGGGGGUACUCGAGUGGCGAACGGGUGAGUAACACGUGAGUAACCUGCCCUUGACUUUGGGAUAACUUCAGGAAACUGGGGCUAAUACCGGAUAGGAGCUCCUGCUGCAUGGUGGGGGUUGGAAAGUUUCGGCGGUUGGGGAUGGACUCGCGGCUUAUCAGCUUGUUGGUGGGGUAGUGGCUUACCAAGGCUUUGACGGGUAGCCGGCCUGAGAGGGUGACCGGCCACAUUGGGACUGAGAUACGGCCCAGACUCCUACGGGAGGCAGCAGUGGGGAAUAUUGCACAAUGGGUGGAAGCCGGAUGCAGCAACGCCGUGUGCGGGAUGACGGCCUUCGGGUUGUAAACCGCUUUCGCUCAUGACGAAGCUUUGCGUGACGGUAGUGGGUAAAGAAGCACCGGCUAACUACGUG